ACGUUCAGUGCCAACCAGCCU
rnacentral:piRNA from 1 species